CCUACGGGAGGCAGUAGUGAGGAAUAUUGGUCAAUGGGCGAGAGCCUGAACCAGCCAAGUCGCGUGAGGGAGUACUGCCCUAUGGGUUGUAAACCUCUUUUGUCGGGGAGCAAAAGCCGGACGUGUCCGGCUGUGAGAGUACCCGAAGAAAAAGCAUCGGCUAACUCCGUGCCAGCAGCCGCGGUAAUACGGAGGAUGCGAGCGUUUUCCGGAUUUAUUGGGUUUAAAGGGUGCGCAGGCGGAUUUUUAAGUCAGCGGUCAAAGCGUGGGGCUCAACCCCAUCCAGCCGUUGAAACUGGGGAUCUUGAGUGUGCGAGAGGUAUGCGGAAUGCGUGGUGUAGUGGUGAAAUGCAUAGAUAUCACGCAGAACCCCGAUUGCGAAGGCAGCAUACCGGUGCACAACUGACGCUCAGGCACGAAAGCGUGGGUAUCGAACAGGAUUAGAUACCCUUGUAGUC
rnacentral:rRNA from 1 species